rnacentral:rRNA from 1 species
ACUGCUCAGUAACACGUCGGUAACCUACCCUCGGGAGGGGGAUAACCCCGGGAAACUGGGGCUAAUUCCCCAUAGGCCUGAGGUACUGGAAGGUCCUCAGGCCGAAAGGGACUUAUGUCCGCCCGAGGAUGGGCCGGCGGCCGAUUAGGUAGUUGGUGGGGUAAUGGCCCACCAAGCCGAAGAUCGGUACGGGCUGCGAGAGCAGGAGCCCGGAGAUGGACACUGAGACACGGGUCCAGGCCCUACGGGGCGCAGCAGGCGCGAAACCCCCGCAAUGCGGGAAACCGCGACGGGGGGACCCCGAGUGCCGUGGCAACGCCACGGCUUUUCCGGAGUGUAAAAAGCUCCGGGAAUAAGGGCUGGGCAAGGCCGGUGGCAGCCGCCGCGGUAAUACCGGCGGCCCGAGUGGUGGCCGCUAUUAUUGGGCCUAAAGCGUCCGUAGCCGGGCCCGUAAGUCCCUGGCGAAAUCCCACGGCUCAACCGUGGGGCUUGCUGGGGAUACUGCGGGUCUUGGGACCGGGAGAGGCGGGGGGUACCCCUGGGGUAGGGGUGAAAUCCUAUAAUCCCAGGGGGACCGCCAGUGGCGAAGGCGCCCCGCUGGAACGGGUCCGACGGUGAGGGACGAAGGCCAGGGGAGCAAACCGGAUUAGAUACCCGGGUAGUCCUGGCUGUAAAGGAUGCGGGCUAGGUGUCGGGUGAGCCUCGAGCUCGCCCGGUGCCGUAGGGAAGCCGUUAAGCCCGCCGCCUGGGGAGUACGGCCGCAAGGCUGAAACUUAAAGGAAUUGGCGGGGGAG